rnacentral:lncRNA from 1 species
ACGUUCACAUAAUAGGAAAAGACACUACACUCUCUAUACUUAGAGACUUUUUUUGGAAACCCUUUCCUCUUCUUCAUGAAGAAAAAAACACAAAAAUCCUAACUGAAAAAGACCCAAUUCUCACUAGCCAACCAGUCCACGACCUAAACCAGAACUACCAGAUUUGGCUUCGUUCCAUCGACGUCGAGCAGCAGCAACCUUCCCCGUCGACCAGCAGCCCGCCGAGCAGCAUUGAUGCAUCAGCUCACCGCUGCUUCAUCUCUAUAGCUGCUGCUGCAUCGCCCCCUCAACCAGCCCAGUCCGUUACCACCUCUUCACUGUCCAAACAGUCUCGUCCCCAGCAACACUUCACGAACUUCCGUCAUCUUCUCCAGCUCUCCGGCGAGCUAGAGGUUUGUCAAGUUCCGUCUUUGAGUGUCGUCCGAUGAGGUUGUCCAUUCGAAGUUGGAGGUCGUUAUCCAAGGAGUCUGUUUCAGUUGCCGAGUCGAGGUUGGCGUAUGUUGGUUCCGGUCUAUGGUUGUCGCUGUCCAUUUUUUCCGGCGAGUUUGAGCUGCUGGAAUCUGCAUAUCCAGAUUCAUUUGUACGUGCUGAUUGUUUCAAACAUCAAUUGAAAGCUCGCUUCAGGUUCGUCUUUAUUUCCUUUAGUUUUAUGUUGGUGUGAUUUCAACUAGAUAAGAACCUAGCCAGCAGAACGAGAUUUUUGCCUAUCUAUGCCAUAUAUGAAACAUUAUUAUAAAAAAUGUUCAUAAUUUGUUAUUUAUCCUUGUAGUCCAUACUUUUUCUAUAAAAUAUAUACAAUUCCAAUAAUAGGUAGAUUUUGCCAUACAAAGCGCGCUAAAAAUAAGGCACCAGAUCUGCGUGUGAUCCUAUCACCAUUAAAUUCGAAUUUUGAAAACGGAAGGAAAUCUCAUUGCUGCAUAAUUCUCUCCUUCUCCAUAUAUUUUCCACCAUUGAUAACCAUUAAAAAGCUUAAAGCUUUAAAUUCAAAUUUAGAUUUUAAAAAAUCAUUAUUUGUUUGGAUUGGGUGUUUUUGUAAAUAAUUUAGAAUAUGUUUAGGAGUUUAUAUCUCAAUUUUGAAGGGUUUUGGUGAAGAUUAGACUUGGUUUNNNNNNNNNNNNNNNNNNNNNNNNNNNNNNNNNNNNNNNNNNGGGUUUUGGUGAAGAUUAGACUUGGUUUUGACUGAAUUUCAGAUUGAAACUCGUCGAAGAAGAAGAAGACAUAUUUCCAGAAAUUGUAGUUAAAUUGUAAAAUUGUAGAUAAAUUGUAGAUAAUUUGUAGAUAAAUUAUAGAUUGGGAAAACUGAAACUUCUACAAGUCUUCUACAAUUAUGUCGAAAAAUGCCAAUUAUGCUACAAUUGAAAUGAGGAAGACUAAAACUUCUACAAGCCUUCUACAAUUGUGUCAAAAAUGCCAAUUAUUCUACA